rnacentral:lncRNA from 1 species
UGUUUAGUUGUAAUCUUAGCUGGAGAGCAAAAGUGGUUAACGUAAAGUAUAUGAACAGUCGUUGUCGCCUACUAGAUGAGCUGUAAGGAUCAGUACUCAAACUGCAUACGCUUUUGAUCAAUCAAUUAGAGCAUGUAGUUUUACCAUUCUUUAGGACAAACCAAAAGCAUUUUGAUUUUAGUUACCUAUAGAAGAGAAACGGUUUUGUUUUCUACUUCACAGUCAAUAUAGGCAACUCAACGUCCACUUCAGAGACUUUCCUGCUACCGUAGAAAAGAAAAGAACGUAUCAAUCUUGUCUGCAUCUCAGACAUAUGUUUGCUUGCUUUUAAAAAAAUGUGUAUUGGCCAUUUGAUGUUGAAACUUCUGCAAAGUGAAAGUUUUUCUUACAGUUUGUUAUCUUUGAUCGUUUGUAGGUAUUUUAUUCUUUUGUGUUUCCAUUUUACAAAAGGACACAGAAGUUUAAGCCUAGUCAUUUUAAUUGUCUCUAUCAUUUGCUUGUUAAGCAUAUAUUUAAUUAUGAAUGCGGUAUGCUUAUUAUGUCACUAGUUGUUUCGACUAUGUAAUUAAGCAAAACUAUUUUAAUAAACUUUGAAAACGAAAGAAAAUGUUAAAAAAGCUUUACUAAUCUUGAGUUGGAUUCCAUAUCAAAUUUUAUCGGCCCUCCGACAAAAGAAAAGGCUGGCCAGAUGGAAAGUAAUAGUAAAUGUGUAACGGGUUUAAAGUGAGUGACAAAUCUACACUCACUUUUACCAAAAAAAAAAUUCUACACUCACUGAAAACAUAAUAAUUAAGUCUAUUUAAAUGGUGGGUUUAUGGGGGCAUGAAACUAUAAAAUGAUAUCAUUUGAUCAUGCGAGAUUAGGUAAAACGAAACAAUCAGGCUAAAAUCCAAAGUGAUUGUAAGCCGCCUAUCUUUUCUUUUUUCGUAAAAAGAUUUUCUAUUAAAAUGCAAGAGAAAGAAAAGGGUUACGGAGUUUUUACUCAGUGGCCAAGUGGCCUACAUAUUAUGGAAACAAACUUGAAUCCUCACAAAGUGUAGUUUAGAUGAGUAGAAGAAGCGUAGCUAGCAAUUAGUUAGGAGAGCCAUAACUGCAUCAGUGUGGAGAAGAAGAUUGGCCUAUCGAAUCUCAAGCUAGAGAUUCUGAUUUUUAACUGUGACUUUGAUCUGUUUGAGAAGGCCUUCCGUUGAGGAAAAGAGCCGCCUAUCUUUUCCUUACAGUGUUGUAAUACAUGUGUGUGUUUUCUUCUCUCCAACCCGUAUAGUUAA